UACGGAGGGUGCGAGCGUUGUCCGGAAUCAUUGGGCGUAAAGGGCGCGUAGGUGGCCCGGUCAGUUCGUGGUGAAAGCGCGGGGCUCAACCCUGCGUCGGCCAUGAAUACUGCCGCGGCUGGAGCACUGUAGAGGCAGGCGGAAUUCCGGGUGUAGCGGUGGAAUGCGCAGAUAUCAGGAAGAACACCCGUGGCGAAGGCGGCUCUCUGGAACGCAACUGACGCUGAGACGCGAAAGCGUGGGGAGCAAACAGG
rnacentral:rRNA from 1 species